rnacentral:rRNA from 1 species
GACGAACGCUGGCGGCGUGCUUAACACAUGCAAGUCGAACGGAAAGGCACUGCUUUUGUGGGGUGCUCGAGUGGCGAACGGGUGAGUAACACGUGAGUAACCUGCCCUUGACUUUGGGAUAACUUCAGGAAACUGGGGCUAAUACCGGAUAGGAGCUCCUGCUGCAGGGUGGGGGUUGGAACGUUUCGGCGGGUGGGGAUGGACGCGCGGCUUAUCAGCUUGUUGGUGGGGUAGUGGCUUACCAAGGCUGUGACGGGUAGCCGGCCUGAGAGGGUGACCGGCCACAUUGGGACUGAGAUACGGCCCAGACUCCUACGGUAGGCAGCAGUGGGGAAUAUGGCACAAUGGGCGGAAGCCUGAUGCAGCAACGCCGCGUGCGGGAUGACGGCCUUCUGGGUGUAAACCGCUUUCGCCUGUGACGAAGCGUGAGUGACGGUAAUGGGUAAAGAAGCACCGGCUAACUACGUG